AUACGUAGGGGGCGAGCGUUGUCCGGAAUGAUUGGGCGUAAAGGGCGCGUAGGCGGCCCGGUAAGUCUGGAGUGAAAGUCCUGUUUUUAAGAUGGGAAUUGCUUUGGAUACUGUCGGGCUUGAGUGCAGGAGAGGUAAGUGGAAUUCCCCGUGUAGCGGUGAAAUGCGUAGAGAUUGGGAGGAACACCAGUGGCGAAGGCGGCCUCCUGGACCAUUCCUGACGCUCAGACGCGAAAGCUAGGGGAGCGAACGGGAUUAGACACCCCGGUAGUCCUAGCUGUAAACGACGUGGACUUGGCGUUGGUGGGGUAAAAGCCAUCAGUGCCGGAGCUAACGCGGUAAGUCCACCGCCUGGGGACUACGGCCGCAAGGUUAAAACUCAAAUGAAUUGACGGGG
rnacentral:rRNA from 1 species